rnacentral:rRNA from 1 species
CCUACGGGAGGCAGCAGUGGGGAAUAUUGCGCAAUGGGCGAAAGCCUGACGCAGCGACGCCGCGUGAGGGAUGACUGCCCUAUGGGUUGUAAACUUCUUUUAUAAAGGAAUAAAACGAGGCACGUGUGCCUUUUUGCAUGUACUUUAUGAAUAAGGAUCGGCUAACUCCGUGCCAGCAGCCGCGGUAAUACGGAGGAUCCGAGCGUUAUCCGGAUUUAUUGGGUUUAACGGGUGCGUAGGCUGUGAGGUAAGUCAGCGGUGAAAUGCCCCCGCUCAACGGGGUGAAGUGCCAUUGAUACUGCCUUGCUGGAAUGCGGAUGCCGUGGGAGGAAUGUGUGGUGUAGCGGUGAAAUGCAUAGAUAUCACACAGAACACCGAUUGCGAAGGCAUCUCACGAAUCCGCGAUUGACGCUGAUGCACGAAAGCGUGGGUAUCAAACAGGAUUAGAUACCCUGGUAGUC